UACGUAGGGUGCAAGCGUUGUCCGGAAUUAUUGGGCGUAAAGAGCUCGUAGGCGGUCUGUCGCGUCGACUGUGAAAACCCGAGGCUUAACCUCGGGCCUGCAGUCGAUACGGGCAGACUAGAGUUCGGUAGGGGAGACUGGAAUUCCGGGUGUAGCGGUGAAAUGCGUAGAUAUCCGGAGGAACACCGGUGGCGAAGGCGGCUUCCUGGACCGACACUGACGCUGAGCGCGAAAGCGUGGGGAGCGAACAGG
rnacentral:rRNA from 1 species